rnacentral:rRNA from 1 species
AACGCGUGGGUAAUCUGCCCUUGAGUGGGGAAUAACUUGGGGAAACCUAAGCUAAUACCGCAUAACAUUUCCGAGUCUUCGGGCUUGGGAAUCAAAGGUGGCGCAGUUCGACUGCUAUCGCUCAAGGAGGAGCCCGCGUCCCAUUAGCUUGUUGGUGGGGUAAUGGCCUACCAAGGCAUCGAUGGGUAGCCGGCCUGAGAGGGUGAUCGGCCACACUGGAACUGAGACACGGUCCAG